UACCUGCAGCUCAAGUGGUGAUCAUUAUUAUUGGGCCUAAAACGUCCGUAGCCGGUUUAGUAAAUGCCUGGGUAAAUCGUGUAGCUUAACUAUACGACUUCCGGGUAGACUGUUAAACUUGAGACCGGGAGAAGCUAGAGGUACUCCUGGGGUAGAGGUGAAAUUCUGUAAUCCUAGGGGGACCACCAGUGGCGAAGGCGUCUAGCUAGAACGGGUCUGACGGUGAGGGACGAAGCCCUGGGGCACAAACCGGAUUAGAUACCCGGGUAGUCCAGGGUGUAAACGCUGCUUGCUUGAUGUUAGUUGGGCUCCGAGCCCAACUAGUGUCGGAGAGAAGUUGUUAAGCAAGCUGCCUGGGAAGUACGGUCGCAAGGCUGAAACUUAAAGGAAUUGGCGGGGGAGCACAGCAACGGGUGGAGCGUGCGGUUC
rnacentral:rRNA from 1 species